AGAAUCAACGCUGGCGGCGUGCCUAACACAUGCAAGUCGAACGAGAAAGUGGAGCAAUCCAUGAGUAAAGUGGCGCACGGGUGAGUAACACGUGACUAACCUACCCUUGAGUGGGGGAUAACCGUAGGGAAACCUGGGCUAAUACCGCAUAAUACCUUCGGGUCAAAAGGAGCAAGUUCGCUUAAAGGAGGGGUCGCGGCCGAUUAGUUAGUUGGCGGGUAAUGGCCCACCAAGACUGUGAUCGGUAUCC
rnacentral:rRNA from 1 species